rnacentral:lncRNA from 10 species
AAUUUUUUAAAGAUAGGGUCUCACUCUGUCACCCAGGAGAAUUGCUUGAACCCGGGAGGCGGAGGUUGCAGUGAGCCGAGAUCAUGCCACUGCACUCCACCCUGGGUGACAGAGCGAGACUCCGUCUACACACACACACACACACACACACACAUCCUUCCUCCUCUAACCCCAAACUAAGAUCACAGAAGGUGAUCCAGUCAGAGAACAGAGGGAAAUCUUACCAGGAAGGGCUUAAGUACACUUUUUUUUAAAACAGCUUUAUUGUUUUUAAAGCCUACAAUUUGAUAAGCCUUGACAUAUGUAUACCUGUGAAAGCAUCACCACAAUCAAGACACUGGACAUAUCUAUCACUCCCCCAUCUCAGAUAUCCCCCCUAAUCCUGGAUACCAUUUGUUGAAAGAUGUUAUUACUCUAGCUGAACUUACAAGAGACUUUAGACCAGGGAUCUAAAUUACAGUGGCCUUAGUGACCUUGUCCUUAUCUUCUUAGGACAGCUGAGAAGCCACUGGGACUUAGAGCCUUUAAAAGGAGAUUAACUGUCCCAAAAGGAUCUUUGCUACUGACCAGCAGACACUUCUUCCUUCAGUAGCCUUUCAUACUGUGUUGAGUAACACCCUAGGGUGUCCAUUAAAGUUUUGAGUUUUACCUAGAGCCCAGAGCCAUGAAUCAGGAUUCUGUCUACAUGAUUCGUGUUUUCAUUGGUGUCAAAAUACAAAAGCCAAAGUUCUGGCUAUGAAUUGUUAACUUGGAAGAAAUACUAACUGCCACCACUUAUUAAGUGCCUACUGUGUGCCAGGCUCUGAACUAGGUGCUUCAUAUACAUUAUCCUAAAUUAUCUCAACAUAUGAGGUAGGUGUUUUAAUUUUUAUUUUAUAGAACUUGGUGUGUUUGACUGUUAAGCUAUGGGGCUAGAGAGAGGGUUUGAUCCCAGGUCCCUCUGUGCUUUUGCUGCUGAGCCACACAACCUCUCAUUUCAAAAACACUUUCAAAAUGCUAACAUAUUCUAAUUCACUCUAGGCCACCAAAAACUUUAAUACUAAUAUCUGAUUUGUAAAUGACUUAAUGUAUCCUUGACCCUAUCAGCUGAAUUUAAUGAAAUAUUCCUCUCUGCUGUGAAAUUUUACCAGUAUAGUAUUUGGUCUAGUGACAGGUGUUCUAUUUUUUUGAGACGGGUCUCACUCUGUCACCCAGGCUGGAGUGCAGUGGCUCAAUGCAACCUCUGCCCCCCAAGUUCAAGUGAUUCUCCUGCCUCAGCCUCUUGAGUAGCUGGGAUUACAGGCACAUGCACCACGCCCGGCUGAUUUUUUUUUGUAUUUUUAGUAGACAGGGUUUCACCAUGUUGGCCAGGCUGGUCUUGAACUCCUGACCUCAGGUGAUCCGCCCGCCUCUGCCUCCCAAAGUGCUGGGAUUACAGGUGUAAGCCAUCACACCUGGCCCUAGUGACAGGUUUUUAUGGGUACUUUUAGAUGAUCUAAGAAAUCAUGUGCAUAUAUCUUUCAGAUUUCUAUUUUGGGAAAAUGAAGGUUUCUACAACAUAUUGUUUCAGUGUUCAAAUAAACUGAAGGACUCAACAUUACAUUUGAACUAUAUCCUUCCUAGUGGGUUAGUGUGAAAAAGAGUUUGGCUGAUUCCUAAAACUCUGCCAGCCCUGCAGUAAUCUCCAGGGCCUGGUUAUUGUUCAGACAUUCCAUGGUGAUUCCUGGGAAGGAAGCUUGGCUGCUCAGUUUCUGAGUCUGGGGUGAGAUAAUGUUCUGGGAAGGGACAUCUGUUCUUUGGUGUAAUCUCUCAUGGUGAAAUCUGCUCUGUACAUCAGACAAUUGCAUUGCUACCAAGUUUCAUACCAAAUAUUUGAAAGGAUGGUAUUGAAUCUAAAACCAAAUAUUAGUUUUUAUUAAACUCAUGGGAAGGCUAAUAUAUUCCAACGUAAAUUAUUACAUAUGGUUAAGUAAUUGCAUGUUAAUUUAUUUUAAUGUAAAUAUUUUUGUUACUGUUCUGAGCCAAAUUCUAAAGAAAAAAUAAAUACAUUUCCUUGUUGAAA